rnacentral:rRNA from 1 species
CGAAAGCCUGACGGAGCAACGCCGCGUGAGGGAUGGAGGCCUUUGGGCUGUAAACCUCUUUUCUCAAGGAAGAAGAUCUGACGGUACUUGAGGAAUAAGCCACGGCUAAUUCCGUGCCAGCAGCCGCGGUAAUACGGGAGUGGCAAGCGUUAUCCGGAAUUAUUGGGCGUAAAGUGUCCGCAGGCGGCCGUUUAAGUCUGUUGUUAAAUCGUGGAGCUCAACUCCAUCACGGCAAUGGAAACUGUUCGGCUUGAGUAUGGUAGGGGCAGAGGGAAUUUCCGGUGUAGCGGUGAAAUGCGUAGAUAUCGGGAAGAACACCAGUGGCGAAAGCGCUCUGCUGGGCCAUUACUGACGCUCAUGGACGAAAGCCAGGGGAGCGAAAGGGAUUAGAUACCCCUGUAGUCCUGGCCGUAAACGAUGAACACUAGAUGUUGGGGGAAUCGACCCCCUCGGUGUCGUAGCUAACGCGUUAAGUGUUCCGCCUGGGGAGUACGCACGCAAGUGUGAAACUCAAAGGAAUUGGCGGGGGCCCGCACAAGCGGUGGAGUAUGUGGUUUAAUUCGAUGCAACGCGAAGAACCUUACCAAGGCUUGACAUCCUGCGAAUCUCUAAGAAAUUAGAGAGUGCCUUCGGGAACGCAGUGACAGGUGGUGCAUGGCUGUCGUCAGCUCGUGUCGUGAGAUGUUGGGUUAAGUCCCGCAACGAGCGCAACCCACGUUUUUAGUUGCCAGCAUUCAGUUGGGCACUCUAGAAAGACUGCCGGUGACAAACCGGAGGAAGGUGUGGACGACGUCAAGUCAUCAUGCCCCUUACGCCUUGGGCUACACACGUACUACAAUGCUGCGGACAAAGAGUAGCGAUCUUGCGAAAGUUAGCUAAUCUCAUAAACCGUGGCUCAGUUCAGAUCGUAGGCUGCAACUCGCCUACGUGAAGGAGGAAUCGCUAGUAAUCGCAGGUCAGCAUACUGCGGUGAAUACGUUCCCGGGCCUUGUACACACCGCCCGUCACACCAUGGAAGUUGGCCAUGCCCGAAGUCGUUACUCUAACCUUUUAGAAGAGGGCGCCGAAGGCAGGGCUAAUGACUGGGGUGAAGUCGUAACAAGGUAGCCGUAGCGGAAGCUGCGGCUGGAUCACCUCCUAA